rnacentral:misc_RNA from 1 species
GUCUACUCCGACAUGGACUAGGCAAGCAACCUUUGUGAUCGCAAAUCAACACUCAGAUAUGCUUUAGGAAACAACGCACGGUGGCAAAGGUCUUCAACUGAAGCGGAAUACCGCGCUGUAGGAACAGCUACUACAGAAGUUUCAUGGCUUCAAACACUACUCAAAGACGGUAGAUGCUGUCCGUCCAAAGCACCUAUUCUAUGGUGUGAAAACAUAGGAGCUACUUACCUUAGUUCAAUCACAUAUUUCAUACACGUACUAAGCACAUCAAGGCGGACUAUCAUUUUUUGAGGGAUAAAGUAGCCAAAGGGCCUCUUUGUGCCUAAAUUUCGUCCCGGAUCAGCUUGCGGACAUCCUAACCAAGCCAUUACCAUGGAACCCCCAUGCACUGAUGUAUGACAGGCUAGCAAUUCGGGCAUCUCCUGCCUCAAAUUGAGGUGGGUGAUAGAGUUUUAUUGUACACAUGUAGCUAAUGUUAUUCUCCUAAACUCUUGUAUCUUAUCUUCCAGUUGUUGUAGUUGACAUUAGAUUUGGCCAAGGGCCAGUUCUGGGUUGGAACGUGGAUUCCUUGAUCCUUGAAGGCUUGAAUCAGAACCGGCCCAAAUUCAGAUGAUUUGAACUGGUUACGG